GUGCACGCUGGCGGUAGGCCUAACACAUGCAAGUCGAACGGCAGCACAGUAAGAGCUUGCUCUUACGGGUGGCGAGUGGCGGACGGGUGAGGAAUACAUCGGAAUCUACUUUUUCGUGGGGGAUAACGUAGGGAAACUUACGCUAAUACCGCAUACGACCUACGGGUGAAAGCAGGGGAUCUUCGGACCUUGCGCGAUUGAAUGAGCCGAUGUCGGAUUAGCUAGUUGGCGGGGUAAAGGCCCACCAAGGCGACGAUCCGUAGCUGGUCUGAGAGGAUGAUCAGCCACACUGGAACUGAGACACGGUCCAGACUCCUACGGGAGGCAGCAGUGGGGAAUAUUGGACAAUGGGCGCAAGCCUGAUCCAGCCAUACCGCGUGGGUGAAGAAGGCCUUCGGGUUGUAAAGCCCUUUUGUUGGGAAAGAAAAGCAGCAGGUUAAUACCCCGCUGUUCUGACGGUACCCAAAGAAUAAGCACCAGCUAACUUCGUG
rnacentral:rRNA from 1 species